rnacentral:rRNA from 1 species
UACGGGGGGGGCAAGCGUUGUUCGGAAUUACUGGGCGUAAAGGGCUCGUAGGUUGCCAACUAAGUCAGAUGUGAAAUCCCUCGGCUUAACCGGGGAACUGCGUCUGAUACUGGAUGGCUUGAGUUCGGGAGAGGGAUGCGGAAUUCCAGGUGUAGCGGUGAAAUGCGUAGAUAUCUGGAGGAACACCGGUGGCGAAGGCGGCAUCCUGGACCGACACUGACACUGAGGAGCGAAAGCCAGGGGAGCAAACGGG